CUUAACUGUAGAAUUGCCAUUGAUACUGCUAAUCUUGAGUAUAGAUGAAGUGGGCGGAAUGUGUCAUGUAGCGGUGAAAUGCUUAGAUAUGACGCAGAACACCGAUUGCGAAGGCAGCUCACUAAACUAUAACUGUCGCUCAGGCACGAAAGCGUGGGGAUCAAACAGGAUUAGAUACCCUGGUAGUCCACGCCGUAAACGAUGAUUACUCGAUGUUGGCGAUAUACAGUCAGCGUCUAAGCGAAAGUGAUAAGUAAUCCACCUGGGGAGUACGACCGCAAGGUUGAAACUCAAAGGAAUUGACGGGGGCCCGCACAAGCGGAGGAGCAUGUGGUUUAAUUCGAUGCAACGCGAAGAACCUUACCAGGUCUUGACUUCCCCCUGACCGUCCUGGAAACAGGGCUUCCCUUCGGGGCAGG
rnacentral:rRNA from 1 species